GUGAAAAAUGAAUAUGAAAUCAAUCACUUUGCCUUUUACUCAAAAUUCAAUCUUCAUCCCUGAUGUCAUAAGUAGGACUGGUAGUGCUGGUGGGGACUAAGCAGUUGAGCUCUUGAGAAAGAAAUUUUCAUUUUCUAAAUCUUUCUUCUGAGAUAAACUUGGCUCUCUAGAGAUGCAGGGCUUUAAGUUUAGGAUACAGAGAUAAAAACAGGAAUAGCAACCGGAUAUGGUAAUAUAGUGUGUGUGCACAGAACAGGGAGAGCAGGCAGGGAAUUGGGGAAUGAAGACAGGAUGAAGUGGGAUGGUCCUCUGAUAAGGGCAGCAGAUGGCAGGGAUGGGCUGCCUCUGGCAUGACAAAAUGGUUCUUGACACUUACAAACUGUGCCCGAACAACACCCAGGAGCAGGCCAGGAGGCUGCUAUGGGCACUGCUCCCAGGAGGCCACUGACAGCCAGGAGGUAGAGGCAGAAAUGGGCCAAUGCCAAAGCCCUUUCGCAGGCCUCACUACAUUUACUGGAGCAGACACAGCCAGAGCAACACUAGCAUGUACAAAGCAGGUUAUCUGGGAGAAGCAAGAUCUCUGACAGUGGGGAAUCAGAUCCAGUGUUCCCAGAGGAGUCUCUGAGGAUGGUCAGAGGCACUGCAGGCAUUUCUUGGAUCAGUGAGAAGAAGCUGUUGGACAGCAAGGAUCCUUCAAGUUCCACCUGCAGAGUUACAAUGGAAAAGAGCUAAGAGAUCCCCAGCUGCUAGUUUUUAGGUAUCAUUCUCUGUACUGGGGGAACACAUUCAGCUACAGGGAUAAUCUGCUCCAGCCACAGUCUCUGCCUCUGUCAGAUGGAAGAGAUUUGUAGGUGUCACAGAGUCAGGGCUAAGUUUUUUGAUCCAGGUCCAUCAGAGACAAGCUGCCACACAGGCUUUCAUCAGAGUAGAUCUGAAAAGCUGUAGUAAGCUUUUUGUACUAUCCCUUUCCGACCAGCCUAGAACCCCAUAUACUGCAGCACUUGCCAACUUACUUGGAGGUGAAUUCAUCCAGAAGGACAGAUGAAAGGAUGCUGCUGUUCUCUGUAGUUGCCUCACACUAGCCUCAGUCAUACUGGAAGACACUACCAAUAGUUUUAUUACUCUAAUGUUCAUUCUUGUUCUUACACUUACUUGCUUGUAAGUACUGGUCAUUCUCGUUUUUGAAAAAUCACUUGUUUACCUUUUUUUUCUCCUCUGUCAUUAGUUGUGUCUUAUGUGUUCUUUAUUCCUUCCAGCUACCCCUUUUUCCUAAUGAAGGAUUUGACUUUUUUUAUCAUUAAGUGGAGAUGUGUAUGGAGCACAAAAAUUCGAUCCAUCUCUGGAUUCAACCUUCUUCAAAACACAGGCACAGUGCAAGACAGAGUCUGUUCAAGCUCAUGUCUGCAUGGAAAAUAUUCAAUCUGGUCUCAAGGAAGGAGUCUGCCUGGACAUGCUGUCAAGCGGAUAGCAGGAGGUGAAUCUGGAUCCUUUCCUUCAGGAGAAACAGCUGUGCUGGAGCCAAGCUCGGAGGAGAGGUUGUGUAAUAAGUCACAGCAAGGGCAUCUAAUCAUCUCUAGAACGUGACAACAUUUGGUUCAGAUUCCCUUAUCAGCAUCACCUUUCCUUCUGCCUCUGCCCCAUCCUUAAAGAAGACCAGGCGGUGGGCCUUGGACAUCAGUCACACGUCGACCGCUUCUUCAAACACUUCACGUGGGAAACUGUUCAGAGGAAUGAUUGCUGAGCUGCAGACCUGGAAAAUAACUGUCAUCAAGACCUUUACAUCUGUCAGAGGAAUUUCAGCUCAGUGACACUGAUUUGCCCUUAUUUUUUUUUUAAUUUUAGUAAGGUCUUGGAUUUUUAUGACUUAAAAUUCCUGCUGCAGUGCAUUACUCUGGCAGGAGCUCUAUUUCACACAAAGUUUUACACAAUACUUAACCAAGAAUUAGGUACACACCUUUAAAAUAAAAAAUACCAUUAUAUCUCUAUUAUGUUGUGAAUGGUAAUUAAUAUGAAACUGUCUGCUUUGUUUCUUUCAUUCUUGUUGAUCUGUGAAAAACUCACUCUCCUAAUCAGCAUAGCUGCGCCCCUACCAAGGAUGGUUUAAAUCUGAAAAUAGCAAGGUCUAAAGUGAGGAUUGUGUUUGGAAGGAUUGCAGGUUGCCUUGCACUGGCACAUUCUGCUUCACAGUAACACUAAGGCAUAUUACUAAAAGUUUGGUUUAAGAAUGAGGACCCAAUCAUGGUGGGAUGUGGCCGACUGCAGAAACAUUAAAUUCACUUGCAUGUAUCUGCAUUAAAAAAUGCAAAGUCUGCUGCAAGCCUUACGACUAUUUCAUCUCUUUUUGUUAAACCUUUUAGGAUGCCAAUUGAAUCUGAGCAUUUUCAUCUGCAAUGGAAUUAAGAUGUAAUGCCAUUUAGAGCUUUACAUCAUUUUAGUCAUUUGAGAAUUUGUGCACAACAGCUUUUUGUUCUUAAACUGUGUUAGUGCAUGAGUAUACUUUGUGAAUCCUACAUGAAUUUUGAGAGUUGUGUGUAUACCACCUGAAAGUUUUGGGAGAAAAUGAAAAUUAUACAUUUCGAAUACAUAAGCUUACUCCUACAACUGUAUAUGGAAGAUAAAAUUUUUAUGCUUUUAUAUAAUUUGCUUUUAAAUUCUGUUGAAUCUUUUCAUAAAGUGAUCUCCUUUGCUUUUUCUUAUUUCUCUCUCUUGUUUUUGUUUUUGUUUUUUUUUUGCUUUUACUUUUGUUGAGUGGUACAAAAUCUCAUCUAAAUUCUGAAAAUGUUGUGUUUUAAAGCAAUUUUUAUCUUAUCUCUUCUCUCUGCAAGUAAUAACAAACUUAAAAAGACAUUAACUCGUAUGAGGCUCUCUCUUUUUCUCUGUGGAAUGCAAGUUAGAAAGUUUAGCAAGUGAAAAUAAAAACAUAAUUCCUAAA